ensembl:lncRNA
UGUUCCACCCACAGUUGCUCUAAAAUCGCUGCAGCUGCCUCUAGUUGCCUCCAGAUGGCGACCUAGUGCCCAUUCUCAGCUCAGAGACCCGCCGGUUGCCAGCUGCUGGGCUGAAAGAGCUCGGAGCGCCAGGGCUUAACCCGGCACAGCUCUGAGGUGGGUUUCUGGAGGAUUCGGGGAGACAGCUGCAACAAGGCACCACUCACUGCACAGUAUAAGUAUUUUCAUUUCUGAGAGCAAAGCGAAGAACUUAAGCGGGCGGCACUUGGAGUGUAAAUUGCUUUGUAGUGUUUAAAAGCAGCACGGAUCGUGGGCAGCCGAGCUGAACGUCUGAGAAAUUUCAUGAACACCAAACCAGCACUCCAAACAAUUUUAAGCAAUAAUCCUAGAAAAAGACAAUGAAAGUCACAACUCCAUGAGGCCCAACAGAGGGAAGCCACCAGGCAAGGUUUGAAAGCUCCACUCAUUUCCAGGGUAUUUACAUCAGUAACUCACCUAGCCCUACUUCAUCUGGAACUCUAGCAGAAUGUUGAACAAAAGAGAGACAAACAAUCAUGCAGUCUCGGAGAUCUCUGCCUGGGUCUCCAUCCUGAGAUCAGUGGAAAGGAAAAAGAAAGGAGAAGUACGAAGAAGACAGACUGUUGCCAGGGAAAGUAAAAUGUUCAUUUUACUCAAAGGCUUCUUUGCUGGGACAGAACACUUUUGGAGGCCCGGGUGAGACCUCUCCACCACCGUGGGUUGGUGUCCCACUAUGUCUCCUGGUGUGAGCAGCAGGGUGUAGGGGAGGUGCCCCCUGAGAAGUUCCAGGGCCCCACAUCCCAGAUGCUGGUGGGAGGGACAUGGAAGGACCACCAAUCAAGACAAAAAUUUUGGAGUCCUCAGGAAUCCUCCACUUGAAGGUGGCUGGGAUCCCCAGCUGGAUUCAUCACACCUGAGUGACGGCCUCUCCAGAACUGUGGACUCUUGAGAUAGAACCUCAGCCACUUAAGACUUAAAAGACUAAAAUGAUUCUCCUCCUUCUGUUCUUGAUUUGCCCCUGUUACUGUUUGGACAUUUGCCUAGGCUCAGGCCAUGGGUUUAAGUUCCUUCUGUCUUCUUUUUUUUUUUUGUACCGGGGAUCAAACUCAGGAUGUUGUGCUUGUGAAGCAGGUGAAGGUACCACUGAGCUAAAUCCCUGGCCCUCCUUCUGUCUUCUAAGGAGAAUGGUUUUAAAAAAAAAAAAUGUUUAAUUGGUCCCCAUGGCUCACAGCAUUGAUUUCUUUUAUUGCAGGCCCUCUUGUUCUUAUCCUGCUUGGGCUCAUGAUACCCUUAUAUAUAAUCAACCGCUUAGUUGAGUUUGUACAAGAUUGUAUCUCCUCUGUAAAGUUAAUCGUGUUAAGGUCUUCUUAUAACCUCCUUGAAACUGAUGAAGAGUCAACAGUUUCACUCGAUUUCCAAAGAAAGUGGGGAAUGAAGUUAGUAAGUUAACAAGAAACCCCCCUCCAAAUAGCCUGUGCCUGAACUUUACCCCUUUUCCUCUCCAGAUUGUUCAAAGUGGUUAAUUAACCAGCACCUAACUUGUCUUGUGGUUAAGAACAAAGGACAGGACAUGUUAUACUUAGCCAUAAUCAUAGAGAUAGAAAUUUCCUGCCAGAUCCCCCAAAUUGAAUUUUAAUCUAACCUGCAACCUGCUUCUGUACCCCUGUGCUUGCUCAAAGAGGAGAUAGUGACAUUUCAUUGUGUGAUUUUUCCCUUUAAAAACUGGGUUUACUGCUUGAUUGGUAUGAAGAAAAUGGGAGCUUAACCUCCUCCUUUGUCACUGGGUAAUUAAAGGAAUUUUAAUGUGGACAUUUUCCUGGUGUGGUCUUUUUUGCUGGGACAGCUAUAACACUGUCACAUUAGUGAUUAAGUUUCGAUUUGUGAAUGUUGAAGAGGCACGAAAUGUAACUGGACAGGGUCCUAGGAGGUUUACAAAUGAUGAUCCCCACCUAUCUGUGGAGUUAUUGCAGGUUUGCUGACUCCUAUCAUGGAAAAAGAAUUUUCAGG